AGCUCCAAUAGCGUAUAUUAAAGUUGUUGCAGUUAAAACGCUCGUAGUCGGAUUUCGGGGCGGGACGACCGGUCUGCCGAUGGGUAUGCACUGGUCGGCGCGUCCUUCCUUCCGGAGACCGUGCCUACUCUUAACUGAGCGGGGACGGGAGACGGAUCGUUUACUUUGAAAAAAUCAGAGUGUUUCAAGCAGGCAACUCGCUUUGCAUGGAUUAGCAUGGGAUAAUGAAAUAGGACUUUGGUGCUAUUUUGUUGGUUUCGAACACCGAAGUAAUGAUUAAUAGGGACAGUCAGGGGCACUCGUAUUCCGCCGAGAGAGGUGAAAUUCUCAGACCAGCGGAAGACGAACCACUGCGAAAGCAUUUGCCAGGGAUGUUUUCACUG
rnacentral:rRNA from 1 species